rnacentral:rRNA from 1 species
UAGACCGCCUGGGGAGUACGGCCGCAAGGUUAAAACUCAAAUGAAUUGACGGGGGCCCGCACAAGCGGUGGAGCAUGUGGUUUAAUUCGAUGCAACGCGAAGAACCUUACCUGGUCUUGACAUCCACAGAAGAAUCCAGAGAUGGAUUUGUGCCUUCGGGAACUGUGAGACAGGUGCUGCAUGGCUGUCGUCAGCUCGUGUUGUGAAAUGUUGGGUUAAGUCCCGCAACGAGCGCAACCCUUAUCCUUUGUUGCCAGCGGUUAGGCCGGGAACUCAAAGGAGACUGCCAGUGAUAAACUGGAGGAAGGUGGGGAUGACGUCAAGUCAUCAUGGCCCUUACGACCAGGGCUACACACGUGCUACAAUGGCGCAUACAAAGAGAAGCGACCUCGCGAGAGCAAGCGGACCUCAUAAAGUGCGUCGUAGUCCGGAUUGGAGUCUGCAACUCGACUCCAUGAAGUCGGAAUCGCUAGUAAUCGUGGAUCAGAAUGCCACGGUGAAUACGUUCCCGGGCCUUGUACACACCGCCCGUCACACCAUGGGAGUGGGUUGCAAAAGAAGUAGGUAGCUUAACCUUCGGGAGGGCGCUUACCACUUUGUGAUUCAUGACUGGGGUGAAGUCGUAACAAGGUAACCGUAGGGGAACCUGCGGUUGGA